CAGGCAGGAAGUGACAUAGCAGGCAGAGUCAGAAUUGCUCCCUUCCUCCUCCUCUCUUCUCUGGAGCCACCAUGUGAUCUUGGCAAGAGAAGAUGCCUUCCUCUGGCGUCCUUAUAUGAUGACCUUCACUUGGGAUAAGGCCCUCCUUGGUCUCUGCCCUGACUUCCCUCAAGAACAGACUGUGAAGUGGACAUUUUAAUGGUAUGAGGAAUCGAGCUCCCUACGGAAUGGACAUCUCAGCAAAUGUCCAGAGCAGUGCUCAUUUUCAGGAGCACAGCUGAAGAGAUGACCCCAACACCCUCGCUACCAGAAUAUGUGGACUAUCUUGUAUCAGAAGGACAGAGAGCAUGGCUAUACCACAAGUCUUCAUGCUGCCAAUGGGGGAAAACAGUCAUGGAGCCUACAACUCUGCUGAAAGAGGAGGUGGAGAGAGGCAGAGCCCCAGGAGCCAGAGAGCUGAGUCCAUCACAUCAGCUGGAUGCAACUCAAUCAGGGCUCUGGAUUCCCGUUAAAGGGCAGUGGAAGCCCAUUUUUUGCCCUAAAGGGAAACAUGAUUAUAAAAUAGUAAAAUCAAUGCUUGGCUAUCGUCCAAAAAGAGUAUUGGAGUCUAUGAAGAAAAUUACAACUCCAAUAAGAAGUCUUUCUGGGGUGUUUCAAGUUUUGAUUAAGGGAAGAUAUGUGUUACAGGGAAGUGAUCUAUCAGAAGUGUGAUAUUUUUCAAAAGUAUGAAGGUGUCAUCCCUCUUCAAAUGGAAAAAAUAAAAUGAUCUGGACCAUUGGAAAACAGAAUGAAGUAUUCUGUGAAUGGAAAACUUUCAAAUACUCAAUUUAUAGAAAACUUAGAAGAAAGUGAAGAACAUAUUGAAACUACGCCCAUCUCAGCUUCUUCAACAUCUCACAGAAAACUCUGGAAAGAGGGGAGUAGGUUUAUCAUGUGAAAUCUCAGAACUGCAGAGGAGUGCUUCUCCUUAUUGAUAAGAAGUAUUUAUUUCAUCAGAAUGAGUAUUGAUGAGGAAGUAAACACAAAGACUCUCUGCCUCCCACUGGGUACAGAUACCAUUGAUUGAUUCUGCAAAAUCACAAUGCCUCCCUUCAUUCUAAGAAAUGAAAUAGCAUCACUGAACAGAUACAAACUAACAACAAGAAAUGACUCACCCAAACUUUUAUUUCCAUACAGCGAACAUUAUGCAAAUUAAAAUUCAAGCAAAGAAAUAAAACCCAAAAAAGAAAGUCCUUUCACCUAAAAACAGAGAUACAUUAUGUCUUGGUAUAUAUAUUAUGUCAUUCAUUAUGUACUAGAUAACUAGUUUCAACAUCAUGGGAGAAAGUGGUAAAGGAAGAGGAAUAGCAAAGAACUUGAAUUAAAGUACCUGAGACCACAAUGAAAUAAGUGUUUAAGAUGUUUUACACUCUGGAAUACUGGUUUUGACACCUUGGUGGGGAUUGGAGUCACCAGGCAAUUUAGUGAAGUGACAAGUCCAGACUGUCCAUGAUUCAGGGUACUACUGUUGUAAUGACUUCAUGACCGAGGCUGCUGAUCUAUAAACCUAGAGACUGGCCUCAAGUGGCACAGGAUGUAACAUCAGGCUCUGCAAUGCUGUGACUUGACACCUUCCAGGCACAAGAAACCUUUACAGUGACCAGAUGCUCCAACAGUGUCCUCUCAUGUCCCUUUACAAAGAUCACCUUUCCCCAGCAGUGAGCGGCUGCUCCCUUUUCAAUCCAGUAAGACUUAGUAGUAAAUAUUUAAACAUGAGAGACACUGUGUUUCUGACUAUCGCUAUACUGUUUACAGGAUUCCACAUUGGCUGAUUUUGAGACUCUCCAUAAAGAUAAUGAUAAUAAUCUAUUUUUCAAUUAUGGUCCAAAUUUUCACAACCUGAAAAAAGUAUCUCUCAUUGUCCAUGCAAAAGUUACUGACCAAUUUUUGGCAUAAGACAUCAUAUAAAGGACAUGGCAUCAGGAACAUAGGGAUCAUUUGAAGGAAGGAGCCAGCUCUGAAUGCUUCCAUUGAAGAAGUAAGACACACAAUCAUCUCUCACCCUUGAUGGACUGAAUCUAAACAGACAUGCUAGCAACAAAUGCAUAGUUCUAGAUGAAUUUAGAAAAACAAAUAUACCAGAACUGCAUGGAAAGUCAUAGCUUGGUAUUAAUGAAUGUGGAUAAAAUGUAGUAGGCAGCUUGAGCAACAGAAGCAUAAAGCAAACUAGCCAAUGGUCAGAUGUUGCAGGGUAUUUGAUCACACUGUGUGAAAAUAUAUCAUUUCACCUUGCCUGCAAGAUGCCUUCUGAUUGAUUAAUAAAGGCCUCAAUGGCCAACAUCUAGGCAGGAGAAAAUAAGUGGGACCUCUGGGGAAAGAGAGGAACUCGGGAAGAAUUUGAGGCAUGUGGAAUUAAGCCAGUGAGGUGUUGAGCAAGUCACACUUACAGGAUGGGGAAGAGGAAAAGAGCCAUGUGGCAGAAUGCAGAUUCAUAGAAAUGUGUUAAUUUAAGUUGGGAACAAGUCUAAGCUAAGACCAAACUUUCAUAAUUAAUAAGAAGUCUCCAUGUCAUUAUUUGGGGGCUGGUGGUUCAAAGAGCUCAGCUACAGUAAGAGAUUCGCCAACAGUUACCCCAGGCUACUACUACCUGAAGUGCAUUCUCUGGUCCAACUGUGUGAGAACUACCCACGAACUCAGAACACAAAAUUUGGUUCUAUCACCUCCAGAAUCAGACGUCACAGGUUUCAAAGAUAUAUUGUGCACACCCAGAUUUAAGAAGCAGUUUCCAUGGCUUAUUAUCAUUGAGGGUUGACACUCAAAUCUAGAAUAGACUGACACCUCCCACCAAGGCCCAAUAUACACAGUUAUGACACCCAUCAGUUGGGCCAGCUCAUGACGAGCUUGAGCCUCUGAAACUAUCAAGAAUAUCCCAAGACUCUGAAUGUUUGGUUUAUCAUGUGUUAUCAAUACAGUGGCCCUAGUCAAAUUUGGUUUUCAGCAUUUGAAACUGAUAAUCUGAGUAAUAUAGGAUAUACCUAAAGUACACCACAAACUGUGGAUCACCAAGAAGAAAAAUCAAUAGAAAUUACACUUCAAAUGACUUGCCUAAAAUAGGAUUUUGGGCUGAUAUUAAAUGUUAAUAGACUACUAAAAUAAUUUUCCUUAUUUUUAUUUCUCUUGCUAACGUAACUACUAGAAAGGCAAAAUUACCUCUGUGAAAUUCCUACUAGAAACUUCUGCUUUACAGUCAAGCAGGAACCUGUAAGAUAAUUCUCUUUACACAUGUGGAACACUGCUGAGUAGUAGAAAUACCAACCUAGCCAGAGAACAGGAUUAGGACUAAGCUUGAAUCCUGCUGCAUAAACCAAAUAAAAAAGGAACCAUUCUUCCCUCAAACACAGGUAAAUAGUGUAAUCACCAAGAGAGACUCAUCAUGUCCACACACUCAUGAAAGGUUACCUUGCCUAUCUUAUAAAAACAUCUCAAAAAAAAAAAUGCCAAUGGCAUGAGAGAGCCAUGUUUAACUAUGGAACAAAACCACUGUAUUGUGAAACAUUCCUAAUCCAUCCUCUGCUUGACUCCUCUGGUGAACUCAACAUCAUUGACUGUGUGAAGAAAGAGUGCUCCAAAUGCCAAGGGAACACACUCCUGCAGAUGCCAUUUAAUUACUCUUGCCAAAUAUCCUCAUCUAUUCACUGUGCUAAAACUAAACAACUUCCUGCCAGCUUGUUCCAUUUUGCAAGGAAGGAAAACAAAUAAAUAAAAUCUCCCUGUUUCUACAACCCUGACCUCAACAAAGUACCAAACAGACUGACAACAGUGUUUAACAGGAAAUAGAAGAAGUAUCACUAUGAUGUUAUGUAUGAUCUUUAACACAAAUUGUCACCUUCACAGAAUCUGGAGUCACCUAGAAGACAGGACUCUGAACAUGACUGUGAAGGUUUAUCUAGUUUAGGUUCAUUGAGGUGGCAAGAUUCACCAGAAUGGUGGGCAGCAUCACUCAAUGGGCUGCAGUCUGUAGAAAGGACAAAGUGAACUGAGCAUCAGCAUCCACCACUCUCUACUUCCUGGCUGUGAUACCAUGUGAUCAGCGGCCUCACAUCCUGCCACCAUAAUGGACCUCUCACUCAGACCUGUGAAACAAAAUUAAUCAUCUCUCCUGUAAUUUGCCUUUGCCAGAAAUAGACUAUGAUCUGAGCAAAUAAUUACCUUGCAUUUAUCACAGUUAAAACCAUAUACUUUGGCUCAUAUCUCAGUAAUUCUAAGAACUUUAUCUUCCAGAUGUGCAUAAGAAAUGCUAACUGAUGUAUGUUAAGACACUAGCUUGAUGGCAUCUGAAAAGUACUGACACAUUUACUAAGUGUUUUAAAGGUAAUGGAAUUUAGCUUUCUAAUUACCUUUCUUGCAUUCUCUGUCCCUCCUUAAACUCUUCCCAGUCUUUACUCACAACAAUUUGACCUUCAGGUCAAGUGUUUUGUUCUGUUUCCACAUGCAAAACAAGAACAUGUAGAAGUUGUAACUUGACCUAUUUCCAAAUUAAGAAUUAUCAGUAGUCCAAAAUGGUGAAAGCACUGCUCUCCUUAAGAUAAUAACUUGGGUUCAAAUGAAAUCCCUAUUCUUACCACACUCAAGCAGUUUCUGAGACUGCAGCUUUCCUGUCUGUGAGUGGGGGCAUGGACAUGCAGCUUCCUUCCAACUUCCAACUUUUCCACAUCCCAUACUUUUCAUGUAAAUGGAAGGGAGGGAGUGUGCCGUGUUUUAGCCAAAUAAAGCCCGUAUCUACUCAAAUAAACGCCUAGGUGAUCUUUAAGAACAAGCAUCCUUACAGAUGGUUUAAUACCUAUUUCUAAGAUGCUUUCAUGGUAGCUCAAAAAACUUUCUAUAAAAAUUAUAAAACCAUUUAUCUUGAAUACAUUAUGAAGGUCCCCUAAGAAAGGAAUGUGAGAAUGAAACACAUGCACAACAUUCCUUGACAGAUUCUGAUGUGCACUUGCAGAUCCCAUUUAAACGGAGGCGAUGUCCAGAGGUUACCUCACUCAUUCUGGAAUUUGGAGAAUGUGUCCUGUGUAAACCAGCUCAGACCAGAAUGUCUGUCUUACCUUGUUUAUAAUCACAGAAACAAGUAAUUCCAUACAGCACUUGGUUUAAUUUACCUGAGUCUUUCACAGAAGCCAGGCAUCUUCUAUUGUCAGAUUUUAGAAGAAUGAAGGGUCGAAAAAUAAAUAAAUGAAACAAUCAACUACUGCUUUAAAAAAAUUAACCAGUACAUUUCCCCCAGAGAACCACUUGUAAUUAUAAUAUUUUUCUAUAAGUUUGAGUAUUCUACUUGCAAGUACAUCCAUGUACCACAUACAUGUCUGGUGCUGUAGGGGUCAGAACAGGGUGUUGGAUUCCAUGGGACUGGAGUUACAGAUGCUUGUGAGCUGAGAUAUAAGUGCUGCAUGGGACUAGAGUUACAGAUGCUUGUGAGCUGAGAUAUGGGUGCUGGCAAUGAACCCAAGUUCUCUGAGAGAGCAGGCAGUGCUCCUAACCACUGAACAAACUCUCCAGUUACAGGAAAGUACCUUUUACUCCUAAACUUCAUCUAUGAGAAGUCCUGUUUUGAGUGGGUAAUCCAAUUAGAGUGACCUAAUGUGACAUGUCAAUGGACCUGACUCUCAGGGCAUGGACAUCUGGGACAGAGAAGGAAACCAGACUUGUGUUCAGAAACUAUGUUUAAGUAGAGCAGAGUUUGUCAGCAAUGUCUAGACCUGGUUAGCCAGGGUGUCAGUGCCUCUUUAGCACUGUGAAGCUGACUUGCUAUAAGGGAAGAAGGGUCUUAAUCUAAUGUAUUUCCAGUGAAUGCUGAAUGGCCCAUCCUAGCACAGGAGGACUUAGUAGAUAAGUAGCAAGCAUUUGUUUAGUAAAAUAAAGACCAUCCACUCAAUGGUAGCUGCUGUGAAUUGAUAUAAAUCCCACACACUCACAAAAUUCCUAUAACUCAAUGGGAGCUGCUAUGAAAUGGUAUGAUUCCUGUACAUUCACAAAAUUCCUGUGUGGAUGUCCUGUUCCCUCAAGACCUCAGAAUGUCUUAUGUAUUUAUAAAUAGGAGCCAUCGUUGCCAUGCAGCCACUGAGAACUAAGCCCUUAGAGUGCAGCAGAGGUGGGCUGGCAUUCAAUACUACCAGUAUCCACAUGAAAGGUAAUGUCACUGGAGGAUGACAACAGAGAUGAGCGGAAUACCACCAAAGACUGAUAGGGAACAGGAGAGAGAUGUGACAUUCCCCUCAUGGACCUGGAGGACACCUGGCCCUAGACUUCUGGGCUGCAGACCUGGAAGAGGGCAGUUCAUUUCUGCAGCCUUUGUUACAGAAGCCUUAGCAACCAGUACUAUAAACCAGACAGUCUACAUCUUAAUAUAAAAAAAAAAACUAGAGUUUUUAAAACUCAAAUAAAAUGAACAGUGGUCCAAAGCUGAGAAAAAGUGUCAAAUUAUAUGUUGUAAAAUUUAAUAUCUAGAGUUUAAUGCAUAGUGUCUGUUUACUCCUAAAGAAGCAAGCACAGAACAAUUAAAUUAGUCAUGGAAAAUUAACAAAAGCCUUUUGAGAAUAAAAGAAAUAAAACUUUACACAAUCUCAGAAAGUAAAAAAAUAAGUUGUUGUAUUGUGUUCACAAAUCAUCAUGGUUUGUCUAGUGAAUAAUAAUGCAGAAAAAAAUAAUUCAAAACACAUGAGCAAAGGAUAUACUAAAUUCACAAAAUUCAAAAAAUCAGAACUUCAAAACAGAGUUGGGCACAGGGAAAUAUUAUUUCUUUACCAGUUCUAUUUGAAGAACUUGACAAUUUUUUUAAUCAACUGUAUGUCAGACAUACACACACAAAUAAGAAAAAAAAUCUAGAGGAAAAAUAAGAAAUACACCAUAUGUUGGCAAUGUGAGAAACAAUACAAGCACACACAUACACUAGUAUUUUCAGCAUGUCAAAGAACUAUUUACCAAUUUUUAUCUCACAUUGUGCAGGUGGCAAAGUUGCUGUAUUUUUAAAAGGCUGAUUAAAAUGCACACAAUGCAGAAGCAGACAGUGCACCAUCUAAACAAGAAGAGUGACCUUCUAAACAGGAAAAGUAAUUUCCCACUAUGUGUAGUACCUUUCUGAAAAAAUUACUAGCGAUUGGCAUUGUUGAGAAAAAUAAAUAAAACAUUCCAAUAAUCACAAUCCUGUUAAAACUAGACAUUAUUUAAAAUGCUAUAAACAUAUUUAAUUCCUACCUUUAACACAGCUUGAUAUUAAUGGAAAUCAAGAUUCUUCUAAUCCUAGGUGGUCUUUCCAUUUUUACACAUCAUUUUCAGACACUGCCUCCACCCAAGGUACAGUUUUGUGCCCUACUCCUUCUACUUAUUUAGUUAGAAAUGAAUCUUAAAACUAUUUAUUACAUUACUUUCUUAUAUUCAAAUAUUGCCAUGUUUUAUGGAGAAAAAAUCACAUGCUCCACGAAAUUAUGUCCUCCAAUAAAAAUAAGUAAAGAUAUCCAGCUUUAAAUUAACUAGUGCCCUAAUCAUGCACAACUCAGCUAAAAGUACUUUAUUCAUUAUUACACAAUAAACAAAACAGAAGUAAAUGGCAUUGAUAUUGUGUGUUUGAUAAUACUAGUUAUGGAAGAUAAGCCACCAGCCACAUUAUGAACCUGGAGCCAUACUGACAAGAUAUUACAGUUUGGGAAUUUGUUUGCAGGGGAUGAUUCAAUUCUCCUACUUUUUUCAGGCAGUGAAAACAUCACUUCAUGCUGACACAGUGGUCUUCACUGUGAAUGAACUUCUGCAGGUGUCCUCAGCCUUGGUCUUCCUUAUAGAAAUAUGACUGUCCUGGGGACUAAAAUCAAUGGUGGAGACACAGCUGUAAGUCUCUGCUCAGCACACCCCAGGUGGCCUUGCCUGACUACCCUGAUCCACUAGGAUGUCCUGCUCAGCACACCCCAGGGGGCCCUGUCUCCCCUACCUCAUUAGGAUGUCCUGCUCAGCACACCCCAGGGGGCCCUGUCUACCCUACCUCACUAGGAUGUCCUGCUCAGCACACCCCAGGUGGCCUUGUCUACCCUGCUCCACUAGGAUGUCCUGCUUAUGAUCCCAAUCAGGUCCAUGCUCCUAACCUAACACACACAUCCAUCCUCUGACAACUUUAGUUGUGCCUCCACAUGCUCUUGUUGAACAGUUCUACCUUGGAUUUAAGAGUAUAUCCAUUCUGACGGUGUCCUUCAUUUUUUUCCCCUGUGGCCCAAUGUUUGUUUGUUCUCUUCAUGAGUCCUCCUCCUCAUCUGAUCUCUGAGCCCUGCUCCUCAUCUUAUCCCAUGAGGGCUGAAAUGUCUCAGUCCCACACCAUGCCAUUUCAUGUACUCUACAUGCCAUUUCACGUACAGGAAUACCUGUUCUGCACUCAGAGCACUGAAACACAAGCCUCAUGUAUACUUCUGCUUCAAAGACUGGUGAUGCUGUGGAAGUAGAAUGCCGGGGAAGUGGAACCAUGCCUUCUGAGACUGGAGGUUUCAUUCUCUUUGUCAAAUUGAUUCCCAUGAGAUCUAUUUAUUUAUUUGGUUCUUGAAGACAGGGUUUCUCUGUGUAGCCCUAGCUGUCCUGGAACUUGCUCUGUAGAUUGGGCUAGCCUCUAAAUCAGAGAUAUGCCCGCGUCUGCCUCCUGAGUGCUGGGAUGAAAGGCAGGCUCCACUAUGCCUGACCUACCUGUGAGAUCUGACCUAGACCAUAAAAAGUCAAUUCUUCAGCAGCUUCUGAAACCACGGGAGGGGGGAAGCUUAUUCAAUUCCCAGAUCACAGUGUUAGCACUCCCAUUAGUAUGUUGGCACCACUCAUAAAGAACAUGCCGGUAGUGCACACCUUUAAUCCCAGCAUUCUGGAGGCAGAGGCAGGUGGAUCUCUUGUGAGUUAGAGGCCAGCCUGGUCUACAGAGUGAGUUCGAGGACACACUCCAAAGCAAUACAGAGAAAUCCUGUCUCUAAAAACCAAGAAAAAAGAACAUACUGAAGAUAAAUAUAAUAAAGAAGAGAAAAGAAUUGUGAUAUAGAGCAGUGAGCCCUGAUAAACAUGGGGAGGUGUCAACCUACAACUUUAGAGUUUUUUACUUAUGAAGACUCAACCAAUUCCAUAUUUCCAGCUAUUCUGACUUCAAUUGAUUUUUCCCAUUUUUUUUCCAAGACUGGGUUUCUCUGUGUUGCUCUAGCUGUCCUGGCACUUGUUCUGUAGACAAGACUGAACUCUAACUCAGAGAUCCUCCUGCCUCUGCCUACCAAGUUCUGGGAUUAAAGGUGUGCAUCACCACCACCACCACCACCACCACCACCAGCAGCAGCAGGUUUUCCAAUUUUUAAUAAGGGGAGACUCAACUAAGGAGAAAAGUGCCCAGGGAAGUCAGCCCAGAGUCAGAAAAAUAGACCUGGAUGUAUCCAGUGAAGGGUUUAAAUCGGUAAAUAAACUCCUGUCUACGUGCCUCAGGCUUGGAUGGAGGUGGAGGUUCGGGGGACAUGUCAGAGCACACAGGAGGCUUUUCACAGCCUUUACCAAGCCCUUACAAACAGCAAACAACUGUGUGUCUGGAAGCACUGAGAAA